AGGGAAUUUUCGGCAAUGGGCGAAAGCCUGACCGAGCAACGCCGCGUGAGUGAAGAAGGCCUUCGGGUUGUAAAGCUCUGUUGUGAAGGAAGAACGGCUCAUAGAGGGAAUGCUAUGGGAGUGACGGUACUUUACCAGAAAGCCACGGCUAACUACGUGCCAGCAGCCGCGGUAAUACGUAGGUGGCGAGCGUUAUCCGGAAUUAUUGGGCGUAAAGGGUGCGCAGGCGGUUUGAAAAGUUUAAGGUGAAAGCGUGGGGCUUAACCCCAUACAGCCUUAGAAACUGUCAGACUAGAGUACAGGAGAGGGCAAUGGAAUUCCAUGUGUAGCGGUAAAAUGCGUAGAUAUAUGGAGGAACACCAGUGGCGAAGGCGGUUGCCUGGCCUGUAACUGACGCUCAUGCACGAAAGCGUGGGGAGCAAAUAGGAUUAGAUACCCUAGUAGUCCACGCCGUAAACGAUGAGAACUAAGUGUUGGGGAAACUCAGUGCUGCAGUUAACGCAAUAAGUUCUCCGCCUGGGGAGUAUGCACGCAAGUGUGAAACUCAAAGGAAUUGACGGGGGCCCGCACAAGCGGUGGAGUAUGUGGUUUAAUUCGACGCAACGCGAAGAACCUUACCAGGUCUUGACAUACCAGGCAAAGCUAUAGAGAUAUAGUGGAGGUUAUCCUGGAUACAGGUGGUGCAUGGUUGUCGUCAGCUCGUGUCGUGAGAUGUUGGGUUAAGUCCCGCAACGAGCGCAACCCUUGUCUUUAGUUACUAACAUUAAGUUGAGGACUCUAGAGAGACUGCCGGUGACAAACCGGAGGAAGGUGGGGAUGACGUCAAAUCAUCAUGCCCCUUAUGACCUGGGCUACACACGUACUACAAUGGCGGAUACAACGAGAAGCAAGACAGCAAUGUGGAGCAAACCUCAGAAAGUCCGUCUCAGUUCGGGUUGAAGUCUGCAACCCGACUUCAUGAAGCCGGAAUCGCUAGUAAUCGCGGAUCAGCAUGCCGCGGUGAAUACGUUCUC
rnacentral:rRNA from 1 species